UACGAAGGGGGCUAGCGUUGUUCGGAUUUACUGGGCGUAAAGCGCACGUAGGCGGAUUGUUAAGUCGGGGGUGAAAUCCUGGAGCUCAACUUCAGAAUUGCCUUCGAUACUGGCUUUCUAGAGGCUGGAAGAGGUUAGUGGAAAUUCCCAGUGUAGAGGUGAAAUUCGUAGAUAUUGGGAAGAACACCAGUGGCGAAGGCGGCUAACUGGUCCAGAUCUGACGCUGAGGUGCGAAAGCGUGGGAGCAAACAGG
rnacentral:rRNA from 1 species